AUUGAACGCUGGCGGAAUGCUUUACACAUGCAAGUCGAACGGCAGCACGGACUUCGGUCUGGUGGCGAGUGGCGAACGGGUGAGUAAUACAUCGGAACGUGCCCAGUCGUGGGGGAUAACGUAGCGAAAGCUACGCUGAUACCGCAUACGAUCUACGGAUGAAAGCGGGGGAUCGCAAGACCUCGCGCGAUUGGAGCGGCCGAUGGCAGAUUAGGUAGUUGGUGGGGUAAAGGCUCACCAAGCCGACGAUCUGUAGCUGGUCUGAGAGGACGACCAGCCACACUGGGACUGAGACACGGCCCAGACUCCUACGGGAGGCAGCAGUGGGGAAUUUUGGACAAUGGGCGCAAGCCUGAUCCAGCCAUUCCGCGUGCAGGAUGAAGGCCCUCGGGUUGUAAACUGCUUUUGUACGGAACGAAAAGGCCCUGGUUAAUACCUGGGGCUCAUGACGGUACCGUAAGAAUAAGCACCGGCUAACUACGUGCCAGCAGCCGCCGUAA
rnacentral:rRNA from 1 species